rnacentral:rRNA from 1 species
AGCGAACGCUGGCGGCAGGCCUAACACAUGCAAGUCGAGCGCCGUAGCAAUACGGAGCGGCAGACGGGAGAGUAACACGUGGGAACGUGCCCUUCAGUUCGGAACAACCCAGGGAAACUUGGGCUAAUACCGGAUACGUCCGUAAGGAGAAAGAUUUAUCGCUGAAGGAUCGGCCCGCGUCUGAUUAGCUAGUUGGUGGGGUAAUGGCCCACCAAGGCGACGAGCAGUAGCUGGUCUGAGAGGACGAUCAGCCUCACUGGGACUGAGACACGGCCCAGACUCCUACGGGAGGCAGCAGUGGGGAAUAUUGGACAAUGGGCGCAAGCCUGAUCCAGCCAUGCCGCGUGGGUGAUGAAGGCCCUAGGGUUGUAAAGCCCUUUCGGCGGGGAAGAUAAUGACGGUACCCGCAGAAGAAGCCCCGGCUAACUUCGUGCCAGCCGCCGCCGUAAGAC